rnacentral:rRNA from 1 species
GGAUUAGAUACCCUGGUAGUCCACGCCGCAAACGAUGUUUGCUAGGUGUUGGUGGAAUUUACCCCAUCAGUGCCGCAGUUAACGCAUUAAGCAAACCGCCUGGGGAGUACGGUCGCAAGAUUAAAACUCAAAGGAAUUGACGGGGGCCCGCACAAGCGGUGGAGUAUGUGGUUUAAUUCGACGCAACGCGCAGAACCUUACCCAGCCUUGACAUCUUCAGAAUCCCUGCGAAAUCAGGGAGUGCCUCCUUACGGAGGAAUUGAAUGACAGGUGCUGCAUGGCUGUCGUCAGCUCGUGUUG